rnacentral:rRNA from 1 species
CCCUUAGAUGUCCUGGGCUGCACGCGCGCUACACUGAUGUGUCCAGUAAGCACCUAACCUCUUCCGAAAGGAACGGGUAACCUUUGCAAAGCACAUCGUGAUGGGGAUAGAUUAUUGCAAUUAUUAGUCUUGAACGAGGAAUUCCUAGUAAGCACAAGUCAUCAGCUUGUGUUGAUUACGUCCCUGCCCUUUGUACACACCGCCCGUCGCUCCUACCGAUUGGGUGAGCCGAUGAAACUCUCGGAUGUAGGCUAUUCAUAGCCCGCAGAAGAGAUUUGAAUCGUAGCGCUUAGAGGAAGGAGAAGUCGUAACA